rnacentral:rRNA from 2 species
AACUCUCGGCAACGAAUAUCUUAGCUCUCAUAUUAAUGGAAGAACGUAGCGAAAAUGCGAUACUUUGUGUGAAUUGCAGAAUCACGUGAACCAUCGACUCUUAGAAUGCAUGUUGCACCCGAAGCCAUUAGUCCAAGGGCACUUCUGCCUGGGAGUCA